rnacentral:rRNA from 1 species
CCAUCUCAGUUCGGAUUGCAGGCUGCAACUCGCCUGCAUGAAGCUGGAAUUGCUAGUAAUCGCGGAUCAGCAAGCCGCGGUGAAUACGUUCCCGGGCCUUGUACACACCGCCCGUCACACCAUGAGAGUCGGGAACACCCGAAGUCCGUAGUCUAACCGCAAGGGGGCGCGGCCGAAGGUGGGUCCGGUAAUUGGGGUGAAGUCGUAACAAGGUACC